rnacentral:rRNA from 1 species
UGGGGAAUUUUCCGCAAUGGGCGAAAGCCUGACGGAGCAAUACCGCGUGAGGGAUGACGGCCUAUGGGUUGUAAACCUCUUUUUUCAGGGAGGAAUCAAAUGACGUGUACCUGAAGAAUAAGCAUCGGCUAACUCCGUGCCAGCAGCCGCGGUAAGACGGAGGAUGCAAGUGUUAUCCGGAAUCACUGGGCGUAAAGCGUCUGUAGGUGGUCCAAUAAGUCAACUGUUAAAUCUUGAGGCUCAACCUCAAAACCGCAGUCGAAACUAUUAGACUAGAGUAUAGUAGGGGUAAAGGGAAUUUCCAGUGGAGCGGUGAAAUGCGUAGAGAUUGGAAAGAACGCCGAUGGCGAAGGCACUUUACUGGGCUAUUACUGACACUCAGAGACGAAAGCUAGGGUAGCAAAUGGGAUUAGAUACCCCAGUAGUCCUAGCCGUAAACAAUGGAUACUAGAUGUUGGACAGAUCGACCUGUGCAGUAUCAAAGCU